rnacentral:lncRNA from 1 species
CAAGCCACUAGCUUUCUCCCAUUAGCAUUUUUAGUCAACUCUCAACGAGUCUGCCUGCAAAGGCAUGUGCUUACAGAAUAAGAGCUGGAUUGUACUGCUUGGGAGAGCUGGAGCUCUUUACUUGUGAUUACUAGGGAGAAAUGUGCUGAGGAGGUGGCUGAGGUCUUUGGAAGGAGAAAGCUUUUAUAGGAAGUGAAUUCCCCCCUACCCCAGGAGGGGGGCCAUCCCUCUCUGCCUUGCCAGUGUGCCAUGCUAACUCUCAUUAGAGAUUGAGAAGCUAAUGGCUGGCUCAGACAGGUGAGAGAAGAAUAGAAUGGUGGGAAAACAGGCUUCCUGAGCUGUUAGUUUGUGUAGUUGCUGAAAAAGAUGUGAACCCUGCAUCCCAACUUCCUGACAAUUCUGAAUUUCCAUUUGGAG